rnacentral:lncRNA from 1 species
GGGAAAGUGAACGAAUCCCGAAUCAAAGCGGCGCAUUGAGGCAGGUGGGGUGCCAGUGGAAGAGAGAAAGCAGGCGAGUGUUUACGGCCUGACUUGGGAGGCCGGCGGAUCAGCAAUUGCAGAAGCAGGCAGCGGCAGAGAGGGAAUGGUGCAGGCAGGCGCUGAGAAGGACGCGCAGUCCAUCUCUCUCAGAAAAGAACAAUGGGAAACCAAACAUCAAAGAACAGAAAGGAAGAUCCCUAAAUACGUUCCGCCUCACCUUUCUCCAGAUAAGAAGUGGCUUGGAACUCCCAUUGAGGAGAUGAGAAGAAUGCCUCAGUGUGGGAUCCGGCUGCCUCUCUUGAGACCAUCUGCCAAUCACACAGUAACUGUUUGGGUAG